rfam:Cavia porcellus supercont2_46 genomic scaffold, whole genome shotgun sequence.
GGGGACUUGGCUUAGUGGCAUAAGCACCUGCCUUGCAAGCAGGCGGUCGUGAAUUCGAUCCCUG